rnacentral:rRNA from 1 species
CAAUAGCGUAUAUUUAAGUUGUUGCAGUUAAAAGCUCGUAGUUGGAUUUCGGUUGAGAACGGCCGGUCCGCCGUUUGGUGUGCACUGGCUGGUCUCAACUUCCUGUAGAGGACGCGCUCUGGGUUAACGCUCGGACGCGGAGUCUACGUGGUUACUUUGAAAAAUUAGAGUGUUCAAAGCGGGCUUACGCUUGAAUAUUUCAGCAUGGAAUAACACUAUAGGACUCCUGUCCUAUUUCGUUGGUCUCGGGACGGGAGUAAUGAUUAAGAGGAACAGUUGGGGCAGUUCGUAUUCAUUGUUCAGAGGUGGAAAUUCUUGGAAUUUUAUGAAAGUGAUCGAAACUUGCUAGCUGAAAUGCAAUUUGCCAAUGGACAUGUUUUCUAUUAAUCAAGAACGAAAGUUGGGGGCUCGAAGACGAUUAGAUACCA